CGGUAUCGGUCUGGUCCUCGUGUGCAUUUAUGCCUCUGAUGUGUGCUCCCGUCUCUGAGGCCGCGGACGUUUAACCCCAAAGCGUGCAUGGUGAUGUGGAGAACCGCGUGGGGGCCCGCGUCUGGUGUCCAGCGGAGGCGGGUGUCAUCAGCUCUCGGGUGAGAUCAAGUCCAAGGCCCAGACGAAGGAACCCACCUGGGGAGGCCAUGCAGGCUUUUUCCUGCCACAAUGCUGCUGUAAACGCGCCGGGAUAGGCGUCCAGGUGCACGUGUGUGGGCCUUUCUGCGGAUGAGCCUCUGUGACCGGGGUGCAGGCUGGGGCCAUUUCCUGAUCUUUGAACAUGCCCAUCACCGCACCGCAGUCAAGAUACAAAAUUAUUCUAUCGUUGCAAAGAUCUCCCUCAUGCUACCUCCUUAAGAUCAAACCCACCACCUCUCCCCACUCC